UAAGCUGUUAGCUAGAGCAAUUUCAGCAGUUGGGAGGUGAGCAUAUCAACCCACAAGGUUGUCUGAGAGGGACAACAACUUCUGCUGUUAGUUUACUUUUGGGUAUAAACGUGAACUUUGAGGAAAGAGUUAAAUUCAAUUAAAAACAAAUUCGUUGAGUGUCUACUAUGUGCAAAACAAUAUGUUGUGGCAAAAGGGGGACGCAAUGUGAAAGAUCUGUUGCCCUCGAGAAGAAACGACCCUGCAUAUCAGCAAGGUAUCUUUUCCUGAAGCCGGUCUUCAUUAACAGGCUUGGUCUUUCUCCCAGUGGAGAAAUCACUUGGGCCACUUCUGCAUCUAGAGUGUCAGACCCAAGCUAGGAAAAAGAAUCAUCUUUAAAAGUAUGUCAUCAGCACUCAAGACCUUUAAUGAGCCAGCGGAAUUGGUCUCCUGGUCCUCUCCUCACUCCACAGAGACUGAAAACUAUGUCAGUUCAUCGCCACGCAAUAUAUAUCAAGGACUACCAUGAGUCAGAGACUCUGCCAGCACUGGGCAAAGAAGGAAGAAGGCCUUGUCUGGGACAUCAUGGUGCUUAAAGUCUAGAGAAGUGUCCAGAGAAGUCAACAAGUGGGAAGGUAUGGUGGGUCAGGGUGAUUCAGGAGGCACAGCUGGGCCAUAGGAGAGAGAACCCGGCCUAACUUAGGCACCAGAAAGCAUCUAGUAAUAAAAGUGAUAUCUGUGCUGACACCUAUGGAACAUGCAAGUAUUAGCAUAGGAGACCAGGACAGUGUUCCCAGCAAUGGGACAGGUAUGAGUGAAAACCAAGAGGUGAAUGGCACAGACCACGGAAGGGUGGAGAGAGAGGUUUAAUUGUGACUGGAUCUUGAGUUAUGGUGUGGGGCUAAAAGGCAAGACUCAGAGUGGGCAGGGGAGAAUGCAGCAGGAUUGAGAGACCAGGCCUAGGGUAGGGAAGGAAAAGAGAUCCAUAUCCCCUGAGGUCGGUCCAUUCCUGCACCUGACACUGAGCUGGGCCUUGAGGAUGUAGCAGGGGAGGAAACAGAGCAGCUCCCUGAUUCCAUGGCCUUCCAGUCUCUCAGGGAGCAAAGCAAGAGGCAUGGCUAGCAUAUAUGAGGAACUCCAAGCAUAGGAGUUACCAGGGAAUCAAGUGUGGGGCUCUGGAUCACAGACCACAGGAGAGACAGAGAUUUCCAGUAGA
rnacentral:lncRNA from 1 species